UUUUUUUCCAUUUGUAUUUUCUCUAACCAGUAUGUAUCCACAAGUGCUGAGUAUUGGUGAAUAAAUUUUGGAGGCAUUGUCACAUUAUCAAUUUUCACAUUUCAAACUUUCUCUACACUAUGGUUAUUAUGGUGAGGAUUAAAUGUUGUCACUUUCUUAGAGUAAUGACACAAUGUUCUCAUUUGUAGAGCUUCUCUCCAGUGUGUUUUCUCUGAUGUCUAGUAAUAUAUGAUAUAUAAUUUAAAAUUUUUCUACAUUAUCUACAUUUAGAUGUCUUCUUUCCAGAAUAAGUAGCCUAGUGGUGAAAAGAAUUGAUUUCUUAUUAAAAGAUUUGUUGCAUUAUUUCAAUUUGUAGGGGUUCUUUUCUGUAUAAAUUCUGUUAAUAAUAUUUAGUCUUUCUUUUUUUAAUGUUUAUUUUUUAGUUGUAGUUGGACACAAUACCUUUAUUUUACUUAUUUAUUUUUAUGUGGUGCUGAGGAUAAAACCCAGGAUCUCACACAUGCGAGGCUAGCACUCUACCACUGAACCACAACCCCAGCCCCAAGGUUUAGUCUUUCUUUAAAUGUAUUAUCACUUUAUUCACAUUUCAUAUUCACAAGCAUGUCUUCUGCUGUGGUGAAUAAAGUUUUAUUUUUUAUUAAAAGCUUUUCCACAUUAUUCACAUUUGUAGGGCUAUUCUCCAGCAUGAGUUCUGUUGUGGUGAAUAAGGCCUGUUUUAUUGCUAAAAGCUUUGCAACAUUCCUUAUAAUUGUAAGGCUUCUCUCCAGUGUAAAUUCUUCUGUGGCAAAUAAGUGGUAAAAUUUGAGUAAAAACUGUCACAUACUUGCAUUUGUGAGGUUUCUCUCCAUUGUGAGUUCUGUUGUGGCAAAUAAGGUGUGAUUUUUGACUGAACGCUUUGCCACAUUCUUUACUUUUGUAAGGCUUCUCUCUAGUGUGAGUUCUGAUGUGGCAAAUAAAGCCUAUUUUUUGAGUAAAAGCUUUGCCACAUUUUUUACAUUUGUAGGGCUUUUCUCCAGUGAGUUCUGCUGUGGUGAAUAAGGUCUAUUUUUUGACCAAAAGCUUUGCCACAUUCUUAUAUUUGUAGGGCUUCUCUCCAGUGUGAGUUCUCUGUGGUAAAUAAGGUGUGAUUUUGACCAAAAGCUUUGCAAGAAUCUUUACAUUUCUAGGGCUUCUCUCCAGUGUGAGUUCUGAUGUGGUGAAUAAGGUAUGAUUUUUGAGAAAAAGCUUUGCCACAAUCUUUACAUUUGUAGGGCUUCUCUCCAGUGUGAGUUCUGCUGUGGUAAAUAAGGUGUGAUUUUUGACCAAAAGCUUUGCCACAAUCUUUACAUUUGUAGGGCUUCUCUCCAGUGUGAGUUCUGAUGUGGCAAAUAAGGUAUGAUUUUUGACCAAAAGCUUUGCCACAUUCUUUACAUUUGUAGGGCUUUUCUCCAGUGUGAGUUCUGCUAUGGUAAGUAAGGUUUGAUUUUUGACCAAAAGCUUUGCCACAAUCUUUACAUUUGUAGGGCUUCUCUCUGGUUUGAGUUCUGCUGUGGCGAAUAAGUUGUGAUUUUUGACCAAAAGCUUUGCCACAUUCUUUACACUUGUAGGGCUUCUCUCCAGUGUGGGUUCUGCUAUGGUAAAUAAGGUGUGAUUUUUGACCAAAAACUUUGCCACAAUCUUUACACUUGUAGGGCUUCUCUCCAGUUUGAGUUCUCCUGUGGUAAAUAAGGUUUGAUUUUCGACCAAAAGCUUUGCCACAUUCUUUACACUUGUAGGGCUUCUCUCCAGUGUGAGUUCUACUGUGGCAAAUUAGGAGUGAUUUUAAACUGAAAGCUUUGUCACAUUCUUUACAUUUGUAAGGCUUAUCUCCAGUGUGGGUUCUGAUGUGGCAAGUAAGGUAUGAUUUUUGACUGAAUGCUUUGCCACAUUCUGUACAUUUGUAGGGCUUCUCUCCAGUGUGAUUUUUGCUGUGGCAUAUAAGGCCUGAUUUUCUACCAAAAGCUUUGCCACAAUCUUUACAUUUGUAGGGCUUCUCUCCAGUGUGAAUUCUUCUGUGGUAAAUAAGGUCUGAUUUUUGACCAAACGUUUUGUCACAUUCUGUACAUUUGUAGGGCUUUUCUCCAGUGUGAGUUCUCCUGUGGCAAAUAAGGACUGAUUUUUGACCAAAAGCUUUGCCACAAUCUUUACAUUUGUAGGGCUUCUCUCCAGUGUGAGUUCUGCUAUGGUAAAUAAGGUGUGAUUUUCGACCAAAAGCUUUGCCACAUUCUUUACAUUUGUAGGGCUUCUCUCCAGUGUGAGUUCUACUAUGGUAAAUAAGGUGUGAUUUUCGACCAAAAGCUUUGCCACAUUCUUUACAUUUGUAGGGCUUCUCUCCAGUGUGAGUUCUGAUGUGGCAAAUAAGGUCUGAUUUUUUACCAAAAGCUUGGCCACAUUCUGUACAUUUGUAGGGCUUCUCUCCAGUGUGAGUUCUUCUUUGGUAAAUAAGGUCUGAUUUUUGACUGAAAGCUUUACCACAAUCUUUACUUUUGUAGGGCUUCUCUCCAUUGUGAGUUCCUCUGUGGUAAAUAAGACUUUUCUUUUUACUAAAAGUUUUGCAACAUUCUUUAUAUUUGUAGUGCUUCUCUCCAGUAUAAAUUAUAUGGUGAUGGACAAGGCCUGAGUUUUU
rnacentral:lncRNA from 1 species